rnacentral:misc_RNA from 1 species
AAUUCUUUUUUUUUUUUUUUCAAAGUUGACAUCUAGAUGAAGAGUAUUGAAUACUUAAAAGAGUGCAUAAUAUACACUUUUGCAAAGACACAUCUUGAUUCAAGCCUCUAAUUUGUGCCAUGGACUUUAAUCUAAUGUUUGUAACGACUGAAAUGGAAACACAAAGCCAAAGUUUGAUGACCAGGCUAGGUUGUAGGUGAGGACAAUUAGUCAAAAAGCAUUCAUAACUUUUGCCAACACAGGGUUUAAAAGGGCUACUCCACACCAAAAUAAGAGCCAAUUAAUA